UACGAAGGGAGCUAGCGUUGUUCGGAAUCACUGGGCGUAAAGCGCACGUAGGCGGAUGUGUCAGUCAGGGGUGAAAUCCCGGAGCUCAACUUCGGAACUGCCUUUGAUACAGCACGUCUUGAGUCCGGAAGAGGUGGGUGGAAUUCCUAGUGUAGAGGUGAAAUUCGUAGAUAUUAGGAAGAACACCGGUGGCGAAGGCGCCACUGGUCCGGUACUGACGCUGAGGUGCGAAAGCGUGGGAGCAAACAGG
rnacentral:rRNA from 1 species